rnacentral:rRNA from 1 species
AUUCCAGCUCCAAUAGCGUAUACUAAUGUUGCUGCAGUUAAAAAGCUCGUAGUUGAAUUUCUGGUGACGCGGUUUGGCCUGUUGCUUAAUUGCAAUUUGUGCCACCACCGCUUCGCCAUCUUUUGGUUUAACCAGUCUGGCAUUAGGUUGUCGGGUUGGUGAUACCAAUCGUUUACUGUGAAGAAAUUAGAGUGUUCAAAGCAGGCUUAUGCCGUUGAAUAUUUUAGCAUGGAAUAAUAAGAUAGGACUUUAGUGUUAUUUUGUUGGUUUGCACACUAGAGUAAUGAUUAAUAGGGACAGUUGGGGAUAUUAGUACUAGACCAUUAGAGGUGAAAUUCUUGGAUCGGUUUAUGACUAACGACUGCGAAAGCAUUUAUCAGGGAUGUUUUCAUCA